UCGUUUUUCUCAUUAUUCCAAGGAGAAGCUUGAGAAAGUAGUCUCGAAAGACAGCUUGCACUAUGACAUAAUUUGCUUCCAUUAUUAUAUUCAAUUCCACUUGCAUUUGCAGUUGUCAGAAGCUGCAGAAUAUGCAAGAAAGAAUGGAGUGAUAUUGAAAGGAGAUCUACCUAUUGGUGUUGACAAAAACAGUGUGGAUACUUGGGUUUAUCUGAAUCUAUUUCGGAUGAACACAUCUACGGGAGCACCUCCUGAUUACUUUGAUAAAAAUGGACAGAAUUGGGGAUUUCCUACUUAUAAUUGGGAGGAAAUGUCAAAAGACAACUAUGCUUGGUGGCGUGCUCGUUUAACUCAGAUGGCCAAAUACUUCACAGCAUACAGGAUUGAUCAUAUAUUGGGUUUCUUUAGGAUCUGGGAACUUCCAGAGCAUGCUAUGACGGGCCUAAUCGGAAAAUUCCGACCAUCUAUUCCUCUAAGUCAGGAAGAACUUGAAAGAGAGGGAAUUUGGGAUUUUGAUCGCUUGAGUCAUCCAUAUGUUACUCAGGAAUUUUUACAGGAAAAAUUCGGAGCGUCAUGGACUUUUAUUGCUGCAAAUUUUAUGAAUGAACAUCAGAAGGGCCGCUAUGAAUUCAAGAAGGACUGUAACACAGAGAAAAAAAUUGCUUUCAAGUUGAAGACAUUUGCAGAGAAGUCCAUGUUGUUGGAGAGUGAAGAAAUAAUACGCCGUGGCCUCUUUGAUCUUUUAAAGAAUAUAGUUCUUAUUAGAGAUCCAGAGGAUGCAAGGAAAUUCUACCCUCGUUUCAACCUUGAGGAUACUUCAAGUUUCCAAAAUCUGGAUGACCACAGCAAAAAUGUUCUGAAAAGAUUGUAUUUUGAUUACUAUUUCCAUCGCCAAGAGAACCUAUGGCGGCAAAAUGCUAUGAAAACUUUGCCUGUCCUCCUGAACUCAUCAGACAUGCUAGCCUGUGGAGAAGAUUUGGGCCUCAUUCCUGCCUGUGUUCAUCCAGUUAUGCAAGAGCUGGGAUUAAUAGGUUUACGCAUUCAACGUAUGCCUGCUGAA
rnacentral:misc_RNA from 1 species